rnacentral:rRNA from 1 species
GUAGGGAAUAUUGGGCAAUGGAGGCAGCUCUGACCCAGCCAUGCCGCGUGCAGGAUGACGGCCCUCUGGGUUGUAAACUGCUUUUAUACGGGAAGAAAAAAUACUACGUGUAGUAUACUGACGGUACCGUAAGAAUAAGGAUCGGCUAACUCCGUGCCAGCAGCCGCGGUAAUACGGAGGAUCCAAGCGUUGUCCGGAUUUAUUGGGUUUAAAGGGUGCGUAGGCGGAUCUUUAAGUCAGUGGUGAAAGCCUGCAGCUUAACUGUAGAAUUGCCAUUGAAACUGAAGAUCUUGAAUGUGGUUAAAGUAGGCGGAAUGUAUCAUGUAGCGGUGAAAUGCUUAGAUAUGAUACAGAACACCGAUAGCGAAGGCAGCUUGCUGAACCAUUAUUGACGCUGAGGCACGAAAGCGUGGGGAGCGAACAGGAUUAGAUACCCGGGUAGUCC